AACAGAAAGAGAGCUAGCAGACAUGCUAGUGAAAACAUAUUAGGCCCACAGGUUUUCUCAGUCGCUUCGGUACAUUUCUCGAAUCAUCCUUGAGAUUUGCAAAACAGCCUGGUGCAACCAGGACUCGAUAUUCCCAGACGCCCUUCACUCCAGCACCGGGAAACCACGGACCCUGGGCGCAUCUACAGUGGACAACGCGAGCCAGGCCCUGGGUGACGACUUCGCCCCCUCCAGUCUUUGAGAUCUCCACCCAGAAGUGCUUCACUCCCCUCCCUGGGACGGAACCCGAUGCUGUGAUCAUAGGAGACUCCUUCGUCCAACAAGUCCAUGCUAUGCUAGCCGAAAGUUAACGAACACACUCACGGUUUCCCUAUUGUACGUGUUCUCUAUGUUUCUGUGCAGAUACCUGCGAUCCUGACGGCUGACGAGAGCCCAAGAGUGGUCAUGCUUCACGCCAGGGUUAAUGACACAAUGCUGAGGCAGAUGGACACACUGAAGAGGGACUUCAGGAGCCUGAUCGAGGCAAUGAUCAUCGUGUCAGGACCACUGCCCACAUGUCGACGAGGACAUGAAAGGUUGAGUAGACUUUUUGCUUUAGAUGAAUGGUUAUUGUCAUGGUGUAAAGAACAGAAACUGCUCUUUGUUAAUAAUUGGAAUCUUUUCUGGGAGUGUCCUUGGCUUUUUCGUGCUGAUGGCCUGCAUCUCACCAGAGUCGGAGCGGAACUCCUAUCAGACAGCAUCUCCAGAAGACUUCGCUCCAUAUGACUUCUGAAAAGACGUAAAGGCAGUCAGCCCAGUGGUGUUUCUGGAGAGGGAUUCCUU